GCAUCUGCAAAAUCAGGUGUCGGGUUUGAGACCCCGUAUUAGCUAACAAGGCGCAUAGCACGCAGUAAGCGUGUUUUUU
rfam:Acyrthosiphon pisum bacteriophage APSE-1, complete genome.